UACGUAGGGGGCAAGCGUUAUCCGGAUUUACUGGGUGUAAAGGGAGCGUAGACGGUAAUGUAAGUCUGAUGUGAAAGGCCGGGGCUCAACCCCGGGACUGCAUUGGAAACUGUAAAGCUAGAGUGCCGGAGAGGUAAGCGGAAUUCCUAGUGUAGCGGUGAAAUGCGUAGAUAUUAGGAGGAACACCAGUGGCGAAGGCGGCUUACUGGACGGCAACUGACGCUGAGGCUCGAAAGCGUGGGGAGCAAACAGG
rnacentral:rRNA from 1 species